GGUCCAAGAUCGGAUUGGACCGCAGUACCUCCUGCUGCUUUCAUUCACUGGCUAGUGCUCUACCGAAGAAGUGGCUUCUCUAACCCUUAUUGAGAUUCUUAUGUUAGAGGUAAGGAAAACAGAACUUAAGAGAUGUGAACACAUGUGCUAGGUUUUCAAGGUUAAUGAGGAAUAGGGAAUUUGAGCCUGGGAUUUAGAAUAUCCACUUGAUUUUUUUUUUUUUUUUUUUUUUUUUGCCAGUCCUGGGGCUUGAACUCAGGGCCCCAGCACCGUCCCCGGCUUCUUUUUGCUCAAGGCUAGCACUCUACCACUUGAGCAACAGCGCCACUUCCAGCUUUUUCUGUUUUUGUGGAGCUGAGGACUCGAAUCAAGGGAUUCAUGAAUGCUAGGCAAGCUCUCUACUGCUAAGCCACCUUCCCAGCCCUAUCCACUUUUUUCUUUUUUAAAAAAUG